AAAAACUUGCUAAUUUUAUGUUAGAUGCGCGUUAAUUUCAUGCCUGCCAUUGAUUGCUUCCGUUGCGCCACAAAAC
rfam:Drosophila busckii chromosome X sequence.